rnacentral:lncRNA from 1 species
UUCAUCCUGGCAGCCAGUGUUUCCCAAGUACAAACCUGCCGUCUGUUAGGCAGUACUGGGAGUGGAAAACUCUUCCUUCUGAAGCAGCUCAGUUAGGUCCUCCGGCUUCAAAGCAUCUGGCUGAUAAGGCAUUUGAAGAAAGUCUCCGGAAUGAUAUUUGAAGAAGAUAGGAAGCCUAAUAAGGAUGAGCACAGUUUGGAGUCAGUCAUACCUGGAUUUGAAAUCCAUCUUGCAUGUUACUAUGAUCUUGGAUGAAUCUCCAUAGCAUUUUACCAUUUUUGAGACCUCAGAUUAAUGGAAAUGAAGAGAACAUGGGACAUUAAACAGCUUGAAGAACCUAAUGAGGCACAAAGAAGCUGAUCAAUAAAAGUAUAAUGAAGCAAUUGAAUGAAUUCUUCCUGAUAUUAUUUUAUAGUCGAUCGACAAACACAUUUU